rnacentral:rRNA from 1 species
UACGUAGGGUGCGAGCGUUGUCCGGAAUUAUUGGGCGUAAAGAGCUUGUAGGCGGUUUGUCGCGUCUGCCGUGAAAAUCCGGGGCUCAACCCCGGACUUGCGGUGGGUACGGGCAGACUAGAGUGUGGUAGGGGAGACUGGAAUUCCUGGUGUAGCGGUGGAAUGCGCAGAUAUCAGGAGGAACACCGAUGGCGAAGGCAGGUCUCUGGGCCAUUACUGACACUGAGAAGCGAAAGCAUGGGGAGCGAACAGG